rnacentral:rRNA from 2 species
UGUUUCCAUUAAUCAAGAACGAAAGUUAGAGGUUCGAAGGCGAUCAGAUACCGCCCUAGUUCUAACCAUAAACGAUGCCAGCCAGCGAUCCGGCUGUGUUCCUCAAAUGACACGCCGGGCAGCUUCCGGGAAACCAAAGCCUUUGGGUUCCGGGGGAAG